rnacentral:rRNA from 1 species
UACGUAGGGCGCAAGCGUUGUCCGGAAUUAUUGGGCGUAAAGAGCUCGUAGGCGGUUUGUCGCGUCUGCUGUGAAAACCUAAGGCUCAACCUUGGGCUUGCAGUGGGUACGGGCAGACUAGAGUGCGGUAGGGGUGACUGGAAUUCCUGGUGUAGCGGUGGAAUGCGCAGAUAUCAGGAGGAACACCGAUGGCGAAGGCAGGUCACUGGGCCGCAACUGACGCUGAGGGGCGAAAGCGUGGGGAGCGAACAGG